AAAACUCUCGAAUUCCAAUGAGGGAUAUGGAAUUUGCCAAAAAUAGUGGGUGGUGCUAUUUGAUUUAAAGACCUGAAUCAAAUGGCUUAAAAUCAAUCAAUUUAUAUUCGUUAUGUAUUUACUUACCAUUAUAUUUGCAAACACUAUCCCACACUUGACAAAUAAAAGCCGAAUGCUUUAGUUUCCGGACUUGGUACAACAAUCCCAAAGAUUGUCUUAAAUGGAUUGUAGAAGUACCUAAGUAGUCUCAUCCUCACAAUCUUCCUAUUGAUAAUGUAUCAUUGGAAGAACAUGUUAGAUAAAGUCUAUAAUAAAGAGGACAACACUUUUAAUGUCAUAAUU
rnacentral:lncRNA from 1 species